AUGCCACGCCGUGAGCAACCUUCACGUGCUUCUGUUAAUCUCUCUUCAUCGAUUUCUCAAUCCGGCGAUAAGAACACCAUCAUCCGCCAAGAAGAGCGUGUUUUUGAUCUGCUUCAGUCGCGACUUCAUCGUCUUCUUCGCGUCUUGUCACUCAUGGAUCUAGUCUCGAUUCUCGGAUUCCGAUCCAAUUGCGGGCCUCACCAUCUCCGACCUGAUCCCCUGAUUUGCUUCACGCACAAUGCUAUAGCUCUAAUUCCGCCAAUAACUCGUAUUUAA